AUACGGAGGGUGCAAGCGUUAUUCGGAAUCACUGGGCGUAAAGCGCGCGCAGGCGGCUAUUUAAGUUGGAUGUGAAAGCCUACGGCUCAACCGUAGAACUGCAUCCAAAACUAUUUAGCUAGAGUGUGGGAGAGGAAGAUGGAAUUAGUUGUGUAGGGGUAAAAUCCGUAGAGAUAACUAGGAAUGCCAAAAGCGAAGGCAAUCUUCUGGAACACUACUGACGCUGAGGCGCGAAAGCGUGGGGAGCAAACGGGAUUAGAAACCCUAGUAGUCC
rnacentral:rRNA from 1 species